GGAAAAUCGUUUCAAAUGGACAGCUUUGAUCCAUAAAUCAUCUUUAACUGGAUUGUCAGUUAAACUGGCUCCGUCUAUGGCAGGGACACUCUGAUGUGCACCACCAGGCAGCUGAUCUGUGCUGAUGGAAAAACAGACUAAGAUGGAAUCAGCGUCUUGAAGGCUCCAGUCAGAGUGUGUUAUGUCUGGUUGAGGCUCAGUGAAUCACAACCCUCAGCUCUGUGGUGAGGCUACUAGUGGACAGACUGACAGACAGACAGGCCGACAGAGGAGUCUGCAUAGAAAGGAGGAGUCUUUCGCCUUCAAACCAAGUGAAGAAGAAAUAGAAGACUGAGUUAUACAAACCCAUCAUGCCCUCAGAUAGUUGGCAUGGCGAUGUGAAAGGAGGAGCUCCACCUUCUUCUCUACACUAGACUCCAUCUGGCUCACUCCCUUUUUCAAACCGUAUUCUUCUUUGACCCCCUGCUUCUACCACCACCACCCGCCACCUUUCCAUGUUCAUUUCCUCCACUCUGCCGCUCUGAAAUGUGUGUUUUCACUCAUAAUUGGCUCCAUUUGGGCACCUUGAGUCUCCUAU
ensembl:lncRNA